UACGAAGGGGGCUAGCGUUGCUCGGAAUGACUGGGCGUAAAGGGCGCGUAGGCGGCACUGUUAGUCAGGCGUGAAAUUCCUAGGCUCAACCUGGGACUGCGCUUGAUACGGCCAGAGCUUGAGGAUGGAAGAGGGUCGCGGAAUUCCCAGUGUAGAGGUGAAAUUCGUAGAUAUUGGGAAGAACACCGGUGGCGAAGGCGGC
rnacentral:rRNA from 1 species